rnacentral:rRNA from 1 species
AACGAACGCUGGCGGCAUGCCUAACACAUGCAAGUCGAACGAGACCUUCGGGUCUAGUGGCGCACGGGUGCGUAACGCGUGGGAACCUGCCCUUAGGUUCGGAAUAACUCCCCGAAAGGGGUGCUAAUACCGGAUAAUGUCUUCGGACCAAAGAUUUAUGGCCUUUGGAUGGGCCCGCGUUGGAUUAGCUAGUUGGUAGGGUAAAAGCCUACCAAGGCGACGAUCCAUAGCUGGUCUGAGAGGAUGAUCAGCCACACUGGGACUGAGACACGGCCCAGACUCCUACGGGAGGCAGCAGUGGGGAAUAUUGGACAAUGGGCGAAAGCCUGAUCCAGCAAUGCCGCGUGAGUGAUGAAGGUCUUAGGGUUGUAAAGCUCUUUUACCCGGGAUGAUAAUGACAGUACCGGGAGAAUAAGCUCCGGCUAACUCCGUG